rnacentral:rRNA from 1 species
CAACAGAUAUAAUAUACCAGUUCUUGUAUCUAUAUGGAUAACUGCGGUAAUUCUGGAGCCAAUACAUGUUGCAAGCCGGAGCCUUCGGGUUUCUGGUGCAGUUAUUGGAGCAAAACUAGUCUUGUACUGUAAUGCUAACUCUGGAUAAUUCUGCAUAUCGCAUGGUCUUGUACCGGCGAAGUUUCUGUCUAGUAUCUGCUUUAUCAACUAUCGUUGGUAGUUUAUUGGACUACCAUGGUGUUGACGGGUAACGGAGAAUCAGGGUUUGACUCCGGAGAGGGAGCCUUAGAAACGGCUACCAUGUCUAAGGAUAGCAGCAGGCGCGAAAAUUACCCAAUAUCAAAACGAUGAGGUAGUGACGAGAAAUAACGAGGUCGUUCUCUAUGAGAUCGACUAUUGGAAUGAGUACAAUCCAGAAAUUUUAACGAGUACCUACGAGAGGGCAAGUCUGGUGCCAGCAGCCGCGGUAAUUCCAGCUCUCGUAAUGUAUAGAAUUAUUGUUGCGAUUAAAAAGUUCGUAGUUGUAUUGAAACGCAGGCUCGGGUCCAUCUUCGUGAUGCGUACUCGGUGCUUGCAUUUUGCAUGUUUUUGCGUUGGCUUCGGUUGGCGUGAUGCAUGCAGGAUUACUUUGAACGGCUCAAGUGCUUAAAGCGAGUCUUAUGAUUGAAUACCGGUGCAUGGAAUAAUGGAAUAAGGUUGAGGCCGAGUUUUAUUGGUUUUGUCGGUUUGAACAAUGGUUAACAGGAACAGCCGGGGGCAUUCGUAUCGCUGCGCGAGAGGUGAAAUUCGUGGACCGUAGCGAGACGACCGAUAGCGAAAGCAUUUGCCAAGAGUGUUUUCAUUAAUCAAGAACGAAAG